rnacentral:lncRNA from 1 species
AUAAUGAGUCCACUAGUUUAAUAAUCAUUGGAGGCCCAAAGGCCUGGUGCUUAUUGACUAAUGGAAUUAUCAUUCAUAAUAUGAUAAUUUGAUUUGAGUCUUUCUGAUGGUGGUCAGGUUGGCCGGCCAAAGUCGGGCCUGAUCAUUUAUUGGUCCGAUUCACCAAAUCAAAUCAUGUUAAUGGUUGGACCUAACUAGAUCUUUUCAG